AUGAAUACCGGGCGGAGACCUCCGAGUCCGCCGGCGCCCUCGCGAGGGACCGAGGCCUGCUGAUCUUGAACGAGUGCAAGCAUGGAGAGGCUGCUGGCUGAUGACGGACUCCCUCCCUCUCUCUCUCUCUCUCUCUCUCUCUCUCUCUUCAUGCUCUCUCCCACGUCUCUGCUGCUAGGCAGCUCUCUGUCGUAGCCAUAGCCUGUGGACUAAGCAAGAAAGUUUUCUACUGGGUUGUCUACCGGAGAUUGUAAGAGGGAGGAGCGUCUCAUUCCACAGCCGUUGCUAGGAGUUUGACCGGUCGUCGCUGUCCAGAUUGAUUACGUCACCUUUACGCGCUCUGCCUCGUUUGUCCCGAUAGUCCGAGCGGUGGCCGGGUUUAUCCCUUCCGGCUUUGAGUCUGGAUGCCGCGGUUCCUGCGCCGUUGACCACCGCAAUGGAGGCGGUAGGGGAAGGGAGCCGCACCAAGGCGAGCUUGGUGGGAGCGAUCAUGGGGGUGAAGCGUCUGUCGGGGAAGACGUACGGGCAGAUAGCGGCGGAGACGGGCCUCACGAACGUGUACGUGGCCCAGCUGCUGCGGCGGCAGGCGCAGCUGAAGCCCGGGUCGGCCCCUGCGCUGAAGGCGGCGCUGCCGCAGCUCUCCGACGAGAUGUUGGAGGAGAUGAUGAGACCGCCCAUGCGUUCCUACGAUCCCAAUCUCAUCCAGGAGCCGUCCGUUUACAGGUCUCCCUUCUCCCUCCCUCCUUCCCUCCCCGCCGUUGUUCAUCUAUUUCUCAUCCCGUUCAUCUCUUCUCCGAUCCGAUUUUUCUCCGGAAAUUGCGAACCAUGAAUUCGAAUCCUCAGAUCGAUGCUACGAAACUUGUUGCCGUGAUUCUUGUUCCUCAAUCUUCGUGUUGAGUGACUGAUCUUGACGCCGCGAAAUCAUACGCCUUUUCUUGAAGAUUGAACGAGGCCGUGAUGCACUUUGGGGAGAGCAUCAAGGAAAUCAUCAACGAAGAGUUUGGCGACGGCAUGUAAGUCACCACUGUGCCCUUUCCAUCUUCGUCGCAUGAACAUCGACGCAUUCAGCUGAUUCUCCGGCCCUUCCUCAGUUCAGCCGAGCAUCCGCUCUUGAAUGUAGUUGAACGUUGAGGAUCGCGCGCAUUUUUCCUGAUCCCUGUGACAUAAUCGUCGGAUUUUUCUUUUUUCUUUUAAAUUAUUUUUCAUGUGGGCAGAUACUUUUUUUAGACCACACUGAGAGCCCGGGCUGAGGCCGCCUCUGCCGAAUUCCUCCUGCUCCAGGUUGCUCAUCUGGUCAAACGAUGCUUCAUUGAAUAAAUUAUUCGAAUCCUACUCAUGAGUUACUCAUUGACUCCGGAUGUAUAUAGACUUGAGAUAUUUUUAUUCCGAAUUUGCAAAUGUGGGUAGAUAGAUAGAUAGAUACACUCUUCCAGUUGAUGCCCAAGUCCCAUAUUUAGAACAGAUUGAGAGCCCAGGCUGAGGCUUCUCCCGAGGUCACCGGGGAUGAAAAAUAGUCUCCUCUGAUCGAAAUUACGCCAACGGAAGGCUGGUUGACUUGUUUUUCAUCCGACAUGUUGAGAAGCCGACCAUGAUCCUUAAUAUAAUUAGGGCGCCAAAUGGGGUUUUUAGGAGCUAAUUAGGCCUUAAUCUGGAAUCGGGUCUACCUCAAAAAAAUUUCUUUUUGUGGUGGUUAUUCCACGUGUGAUUUUAUCUUCUUUUUUUUUAUUGCUUUCCAAAAUCGGCAGCAGUGGUUGCAUGGGGAUUUCCUCUAUCUGGUCGCCCUCCUCCUCCUUGUUACUCUUAUUACUCUCUCUCUCAUUUCUAAGCUUCUCUCUCCUGCUGCUGCCUGCAACCGGGUGAUGGUGGGGACUGCCCGUGCAGAUUUCUUGACCAUCCCACGGCCAUGGGUUGACCACGAUGUGGCCAACAGAUCCAUGAGUGGGGCCGGAUCCCUUCUACUCUGGAUCUCUCAUGCCAGUUCCGUUCUGGUUUGACCCAUUCAUAUCUGGAUACCUCAAUCCCACGAAUCAAAGUAUGUCCAUAUAUUUAUAUUCAUACAUUGAUUAGGUGCUAAAAAAAAAAUGGCAGCUGCUUCAUAUGUGCCUACUGAUGGGCCUUCCCAGCAUCAAUAAGAGAAAUAUUAUCACCCAUUGUUACGGAGUUGAGUGGAUCUACUUCUCCUCACUAGAGUUCAGUAGAUAUUGAUCUUCCUUUAUUAUUAUUAUUUUUUCUAUUCUUAUCUGUUUGACCGGCAGUUAUUUUCUCUUCAGAAUGUCGGCCAUUGACUUCUUCUGCUCCGUUGAUAAAGUCAAAGGGGUCGACGGGAAAGACCGUGUGGUUGUCACAUUUGAUGGCAAGUACUUGCCAUACAGCGAGCAGGUCAGCAGGCCUUUCUUCCAUGGCUGCCACCUUACCAAGAUCACGGAGAACCAUUGCUCACCAUUGAUCAGAAGAUGGCUGAAAAUCAAUAUUUGAUAAUUAUUUCCGUGGGUUCACUGGAGUUGACUUUUUUCCUGCAGCUGUCCGAGCACAUGGUCUCCAGGCCGAGGCAGUAGCCGACUCCUCUGCUGACUUUCAACGCUUCAAUAAAUGUGGCUGGAACGAAACUUUGUAAUGCCCAUGUAUUUUUAUUAAACAGCUGGUUGGUUCAUCGGGUAAUGUCUUCCAAGCGUCUCUGUCUCUGUCUCUGUCUCUGUCUCUGUCUCUCUCUCCUCCCCCCCCUGCCGAGGGUUCAUGCCGGGAUGGGCUGGGCCGCUCUUAUUGGGCUGCUACGUUAGGGCUUUUGUUUGGCCGGAUUAUGGGCUAUGUUCUUCUAUGGUUGUUAAGUCACUACUUUGGUGGGCCACCUGUGUGAGGCCCAUUAACAGAUGAGCCCAGUGAGGGCUCAGAAAAUAUCUGCCGGUUAUGUCCCUGAAAUAAAACACCUCCUUAACCCCUAGUGGCGGUGAGCCUCUCCCCAUCCUGCCGGGUUCGACCUACAAACCCUCGCGUGCUCUCCCUGUCGCCCUCUCUCGAUCUCUCCUGCUCGACGGCAAUGGCCGCCGCCGCCAUGGCCCGGGCCAUCGUCGCCGCCUCCGCCGCCACCGCCUCCGCCGCUGGAGCCCCGCGCUUCCCCGUCAAUCUGUUCCUCUCCAAGCGCUUCUUCUUCGCCGGCUCUUCCGCCGGCGCGUGCCCUUUCACGGGCCUGGUCCGGCGUCGCUCUGCUUCAACGUCCUCGCCGCUCACUCACGCUGUCCGAGUCCUGGCUUCUCCGGGGGCUGCCAGGCUCAAUCAGAUCAGGUGCAGGGUCAACCGGCCCGGGGACUCGGGGUAUUCUCCGUUGAACUCGGGCUCGGGCUCGGGCUCCGGCUACAGUGAUCGGCCGCCCACCGAGAUGGCGCCGCUCUUCCCCGGGUGCGACUACGAGCACUGGCUCAUCGUCAUGGACAAGCCCGGCGGGGAGGGUGCCACCAAGCAGCAGAUGAUCGACUGCUAUAUUCAGACCCUUGCCAAGGUCCUCGGCAGGUGCGGUCAUUUGGGGACUUGUAUCUGCCAGUGUUUUUCUUCCUUCCCCUUCAACCUUUACGAUAUUUAGGGUUUCUGAUGGUUAGUUUUGCCGACAUGCUGGGCGACCGCGGCUGCUUUUCUUCGUCCUCGGGGUCUCUGUCACCUCCUGCGUUCUGCCCUGUGUUUGCUGUUUGUCGACGCCUUUUUAUUAGAUUAGGGCAGGGCUUGAUCGGAGCUUUCUAGGAUGCCUGGUUUGGAGUUUCUAGGAGCUAUCGUCCUAGUUCCUCUUUCAGGAGCAGGGAGCCUUGCUGCUAAAAUUUAUGCGCCUAGUUAACUUUGUUUCCUGAAUGGUGCACCAGUGAAGAGGAGGCUAAGAAGAAGAUCUACAACGUCUCCUGCGAGCGGUACUUUGGAUUCGGAUGCGAAAUUGACGAAGAGACGUCGAAUAAGCUCGAAGGUUCUUGCUUUCUUUCAAUAAAUGAUCUUCCCCCAUCUCCUCGAAUGCCACAGACUCCGAUCUUCACCUGUGGGAUAAUCCCGUUGUUAUAUUUAGCAUGAUGGGUCCUUUUUUUUUUCCUCGUUCCAUCUGAUCGGGUUGCGCAUCUGAUUCCUAUCGUGCUCCGACGAUAAUGGAUGGAUUUUCCAGUCUGAUGUGAGUUUUCUUUACAAUUUGUUCAGGGCUCCCGGGUGUUCUCUUUGUUCUUCCUGAUUCUUAUGUCGACCCGGAGAACAAGGACUAUGGGGGUAAGCGCAUCAACCCGAAUGCCAAGGCAACCAUUUCUGGCCUUCUUCUUUGGCUGGCUUGAGCACGCAUCCUUUUUCACGGCGCCAGCAAGCUCGAUAUUUCUUUUCAUCCCCUUUUCGUUCUGUCUUGGUUUUUACACUUGUUCGCGCUUGUUGCAUCUCUCUCUGAAACCUUCCGCUCAGCCUGAGAAGAGCAUGCGGCUCUCUCUCCACCCAGUCGGCAGCGGCUGGCCAUGGCUUUAAGAUUCAACACACCGAACACACACACUCGGACUCCCUUCCAGUCAUGUUCUGACGACUAGAAGAACGCUCUUCACUCCCCUAGGAUGUACUGGUGGCGAUGGUGAACUUGCCCUCUCCUUUUUGGCUCUGCCCUUCCCCUGGGAUGCUCCAUUAAUUGCCAGCUAGCUGAGAUGGAUGAAGCGUGCUUUCAAUGGGAACUCAUCUUUUCUUUUCUUUUUGCCCAACAUUCACGGCUUGGAUUCCAGGCAGCCGGGUUGAAUCCAUUGCGGACCCCGCAUGCUCUUCUCAUCCAAGCUCCUUCAUUUCUGUUUCCUUGCUCUUUUUUGGGGUGGGGGAAGGGGGGAGGCCGGUUAAGCCCUGGAACACAAAGAGCAGCUAGAGCAUCUGUGUCUGAAGAAUCUCUCAGAUGGGGUCAACGGGAUCCAGUAAGCGUAAUCCUUCACCUGGAUGGAUGAACAUGGUGGGUGCCUCACUUGGAGAGUAAAUUCCUGCACGAAGCUCACUCAAUUGGAAUGACUCUUGAAGAACUGCCUGCUCCUCCCUCAUCCACACGCUUUCUUUGACUGGGCCGAUGACUGCUGCCGCUUUCCUGUUAGUAAGUUGGAUGGAUGGAUGGAUGGAAUUAAUGGAUGAGCUCUCUUUGUUUUGCUCUGUGGCGCAGCGGAGCUGUUCGUCAACGGGGAGAUCGUGCAGAGGUCGCCGGAGAGGCAGCGGAGGGUGGAGCCGGUGCCGCAGCGAGCCCAGGACCGGCCCAGAUACAACGACAGGACCCGCUACGUCCGGCGGAGGGAGACCCAGCGAUGAGAGAGGCACACACAGAACCCAUCAUCCACCAUAGCCUCUCUCUCUCUCUCUCUUCUUUCUCCCUCUUCUAUCUCUGCAACUAGACGUGGAAGUCCCCUGUUUUGUGCCGUUGACUUGUGGACCUCUCCUCUCUCACCGAGCGUCGUCUCCGUGGACUUUUCUCUCUGUGGUAGCUCCACCCCACCCCCAUAGGGAACUGGGUUGUAAUUCUGUAUGAAAAACGGGCCGUAGUUGGCGUCAGCCAUCCCGCAGGGCGGCCCGGGCCCACUUCAUCACACACGCGUCCUCUCUCUUUUUGUCUUUCUAUGUGGGACCUACAUCGACGUGGAUGGCCUGCGGGCUCGGUCAUCCUCAGUUGGUCGCCGACGGCCCCACCGAGGCGCAGUUUCGGGGCCUUUCUCGACGAUGACUUCUCGCCCCAUGAGCCCGUUGACUGGUCGGCCCCAUCGAUCAAUUUCUGGGAAAAACUGAGCCGUGGGCCCCGGUGCUGCUGGGAGACAUCUCCCGGGAUAUUUCCACCCCAACGUCACCGUCGUUUCCUAAUUCUCC
rnacentral:lncRNA from 1 species